AGGACGAACGCUGGCGGCGUGCUUAACACAUGCAAGUCGAGCGGAAAGGCCCUUCGGGGUACUCGAGCGGCGAACGGGUGAGUAACACGUGAGUAAUCUGCCCCUAGCUCUGGGAUAGCUCCGGGAAACCGGGAUUAAUACCAGAUACGACCACUUUAGACAUCUGUUGUGGUGGAAAGAAUUUUGGCUAGGGAUGAGCUCGCGGCCUAUCAGCUUGUUGGUGAGGUAACGGCUCACCAAGGCGACGACGGGUAGCCGGCCUGAGAGGGCGACCGGCCACACUGGGACUGAGACACGGCCCAGACUCCUACGGGAGGCAGCAGUGGGGAAUAUUGCGCAAUGGGCGAAAGCCUGACGCAGCGACGCCGCGUGGGGGAUGAAGGCCUUCGGGUUGUAAACCCCUUUCAGCAGGGACGAAGCGAAGUGACGGUACCUGCAGAAGAAGCGCCGGCUAACUACGCGCCAGCACGCCGC
rnacentral:rRNA from 1 species